GAUUCCAGCACCUGGACAAGUGGUCUAAGAAACCAUCAAAGCCUUCUUUGGACUGGCAGCCUUGAUCGCUUGGUCUUCAUAUCAGAUGAUAAGUGGGAACUUCAAGCAUCUGCCCUGAGUUGAAGGUCUUUGGGCACAAGAUUAAAGUCAGAAAAUUUCUUCUGCUUCUGAAUGUGAAGAAAAUUGAAGGCCUACUGCCUUGAACAAAAGGAUUGUCCAUGUAUCUUUUGCCUUUGUAAGCAUGCAGUGCAACAGACCUCCUGCUAUAGUUUCAACAGCAACAACAUGGAACAAGUUGAGUCUUUCAAAUGAAUGACUUACAUUUUAUCAGUCAGGAAAGAUUAUUGCUGCCUGCAUAGAUACUUGUGACUGGCCUUCCCUCCCAUCCCAAAGUGUGAGUAAAUAGCUAAA
rnacentral:lncRNA from 1 species